UACAGAGGUGGCAAGCGUUGUUCGGAAUUACUGGGCGUAAAGGGCGCGUAGGCGGCCAUCUAAGUCAGACGUGAAAUCCCCAGGCUCAACCUGGGAACUGCGUCCGAUACUGGAUGGCUUGAAUCCGGGAGAGGGAUGCAGAAUUCCAGGUGUAGCGGUGAAAUGCGUAGGUAUCUGGAGGAAUACCGGUGGCGAAGGCGGCAUCCUGGACCGGCAUUGACGCUGAGGAGCGAAAGCCAGGGGAGCAAACGGG
rnacentral:rRNA from 1 species